CUGUCACCCAGGCUGGAGUGCAGUGGCACGAUCUUGGCUAUUGCAGCCUCUGCCUCCUGGUUUCAAGCGAUUCUCCUGCCUCAGCCUCCCGCAUAGCUGGAAUUACGAGUGUGCACCACCAUGCCCAGCUAAUUUUUGUAUUUUUAGUAGAGACAGUAGAUGUUGGCCAGGCUGGUCUUGAACUACUGACCACAAGUGAUCUGCCUGUCUCCACCUUGCAAAGUGCUGGGAUUACAGGCAUGAGCCACAGCACCUGGCCCCUUCUUUCUUUCCUUCCUUCCUUCCUUCCUUCCUUCCUUCCUUCCUUCCUUCUUCUUCUCUUCUCUCUCUCUCUUUCAUUCUUUCUUUUUUCUUUCUUUCUCCCUCCCUCCCUCUCUCCCUUCCUUUCUUCCUCUCAAUGAACAUAGUAUUUUGAAUACUAUAGUAGACUAAAUAGUGCCCCCCCCACCAAAGGUCCAUGUUGUAAUACCUGGAACCUGUGAAUAUGUUACCUUACAUGGCAAAGGGCACUUACUUUGCAGAUAUGAUAAAGAGGGACUCAGAAGGUGUCAGAGUCAAGGAAGACAAUAUGACAACAAGCCAAGAGGGGUUUGAAGAUGCUACUUUGCUGGCUUUGAAAGGGGCCAGAGCCAGAGAAUCCAAGGAAUGCAGCUCUAGCAGCUGGAAAGGCCACAGUUCUCCCCUAGAGCCUCUGGAGGGAGCGCAGCCCUGCCAGCACCGUAGGUUCAGCCCGGAUGCACCAUUUCAGACUUCGGACCUCCAGAACUAUAAGAGAAUAUAUUGUGCUAUUUUAAACCUUAAAGUUUGUGGUCAUUUGUUCCAGCAGCAACAGGAAACUAAUUUGAGCACCAAGCACUGUAUCUGAUAUAACCAAAGCUUCAAAGGAGGGUGCAGGCCCAGGAGUCGUGUGGCCACUGCCAGGAGAGCUAAAGCCAUAAGACUCUUGGCCACCUCGCUUCCUGCCUCUCUCAGUUGAUUCCCUGUGACUCUAUCCCUGCAUGGAGGAGAGACAAGUGAAAAUGAAAGACAGAUGAAUGUGUCAAGUUGAGAGCUCUUUACAUGAUGAAGGUGUUUCUGCUUCAUUGCAUGAAACAGAACAUAGAGCGGUGAUAAAACCCAGCCAGAUCCUUUGGGUUGACUUCCAACCGCAGGUGGUGGUUACUCAUUAGGAAAGAGCGAACACUGUAAUGACUUCAAAACUAAGGAGUGCAAAGCCAAAUAUUCACUAAUAAUCACUCAUCAAGGAGAACAGAUGGCACACGUUGAACACUCCUGAAAAUGAAAGCCCUUGGCUGCAGGGGUGAAUGUCCAGGACCCACAGAAAAUAUCAAGUCAGAUACCUCUUGAAGCACUGAUGGGAAGGUGCAGCUGGACUCCCUGGAACUCUGAAGCUGAGAGACAGAGCACUACGGAAGGGAGCCCCAUUCCCAAGCAUGGUGUCCAAUACACUGAAAGAAUAACUGGGCUCAGUAAUGCACCUAGAGACUCAGAUUCCAGACCUGCCCACUUGCUUUACUAUCCAAAACAACCAUGACACAUGACUUCUCUGGCGGGGUGUUGGCCAAGACAAACUGAACUAUAGAAGAUCCUUGACUUGCCAACGUUCAAAUGAUGAACUUUCAAAAAUAGCGAAACUGGCUGCAGAGCAAAAGCUUUUCAGCUCUGCACAACACCAACAGAUGGCGCUAAGUGUCACCCUUGUGGAGAGCAGAGGGACCUCGGAAGGGCCUUUGGAAAUCUAAUCUGGUUUUGAGUUCUUGGUGGGAAAAUGCACCUUUAAGUUGGGGGAGUUUGAAGACGUUGCCAAGACACGUGCUGCAGCAUUUGAUCUUUUCUGCCGCACUGGCUUCUGCAAUUAACAUGCUUUCACCAGUGAAACUCAGGUUGCGGGGAGAGCAUUCUUCCAGGUUCAUGCCUGUUGUCAUGGAGUAAUUAUAAUUCAUGUCUCCGUUCACAGUGUCCUGGUUUGUAGAAUAAAAUAUCUGGUCCACCCA
rnacentral:lncRNA from 1 species